rnacentral:rRNA from 1 species
GUCCACGCCGUAAACGGUGGAUGCUGGAUGUGGGGCCCGUUCCACGGGUUCCGUGUCGGAGCUAACGCGUUAAGCAUCCCGCCUGGGGAGUACGGCCGCAAGGCUAAAACUCAAAGAAAUUGACGGGGCCCGCACAAGCGGCGGAGCAUGCGGAUUAAUUCGAUGCAACGCGAAGAACCUUACCUGGGCUUGACAUGUUCCCGACAGCCGUAGAGAUAUGGCCUCCCUUCGGGGCGGGUUCACAGGUGGUGCAUGGUCGUCGU